rnacentral:rRNA from 1 species
GACAGAGGUCCCGAGCGUUAGGCGGAAUCACUGGGCUUAAAGCGUGUGUAGGCGGAUCGUUAAGUGCCUUGUGAAAUCCCAUGGCUUAACCAUGGAACUGCUUGGCAUACUGGCGGUCUUGAGCCACUUAGGGGCUACCGGAACAAAUGGUGGAGCGGUGAAAUGCGUAGAUAUCAUUUGGAACGCCAAUGGUGAAAACAGGUAGCUGGGAGUGUGCUGACGCUGAGACACGAAAGCCAGGGGAGCGAACGGG